AGAAAAAGGAGACAAGCAUAGAUCGAGCCUCCAAAGAUGCAGACAAUUUGAAUCCAAACACAGCCUCCAGCCCAAGGACUUGGGUUCGAGCCCAGUCGGCGUGAAUAGCCCAAGUCCCAUGCUCUAUUCAAAAGGGCUUUUAUUCCCUAAACUAUAUUAAGAGGCAGCCCAUGAGUUUAAUCACAAGCAGGUUAUCUAAGACUAAUUUCACUAGCAAUUGAAAAUACUUGAUUUAAUACACUAAUUGAACCAACUGCUUCUUUAUUACCAAAUCAAGUUUCAAUCAUGUUCCCAAUUCUAUAUUUUUAAACAAACGAACUGUUAAUUAAGGGGGAUCGGUUGAUUUCAAUAUCAAUUCACGAAAACCUUCUUUAUACAAUGACUACGAAUAAUUUCUAAUUCAAUAAACCCAAAAGUCUCAUUUCACCUACCGAUUUUUUAUUCACAUAAUUAAUCAAGUCUAAACAAUCUCAUUAUUUUCCAAGUUUCACUUUGAAAUUCCAAAAAUAUAGAUUAAAAAAACCAACAGUCACUAGCUAACAAACUUUGUCAACUACAGAUUCACCAUCACCAGAACUCGAUUCUUCAGCUAACACUCACAUGUAAAAUUCAUAGCCCCCAAAACUAUAAAUAAUAUAAGAGUCCAAAUGAAAAUUGUAAAGUCCAAAAUUAACAAACUAAAGCAGACAUUCGGAGAAUCGGUAUCCACUACUUCGACAAGGAUUUCAAUUCAAACCAUUUAACAGGCCAUCGUUACCAUGAUUCUACAACUUUACAACUGCAAAUGAAUUCAUACAAAGCUAUAAAAUUCAUCAGCUAACACUCACAUGUAAAAUUCAUAGCCCCCAAAACUAUAAAUAAUAUAAGAGUCCAAAUGAAAAUUGUAAAGUCCAAAAUUAACAAACUAAAGCAGACAUUCGGAGAAUCGGUAUCCACUACUUCGACAAGGAUUUCAAUUCAAACCAUUUAACAGGCCAUCGUUACCAUGAUUCUACAACUUUACAACUGCAAAUGAAUUCAUACAAAGCCAAUUGAAAUUAUAAUGCUAAUGUAACUAUGAAACAGUCAAGAACAGACACUCAAAACACAUAAAACUCCAAGUCACUUCUUAUUUCAGCUUCAGAUUCAUAUCUACAUGUCAUUGAGUUCAAAAUAGUACCUGGAAAUAGAAAAUUCAAUAGAGAGGAUAGUCAGCAACAAUUAUAGAGCAGUAGGAUGAAGAAGUUCACGCAACCACAGUUGCAAAAGAAUCAACAGCAACACUAAGUAGCCCAGGACUUCAGAACAAUAACCCAGAACUUUGAAACCCAACGAAAAACCUCAAAAACCAGGAGAAAUAACUCCAAACAAGUUCAAAACAAACCCCAGACCAGACUAUAAAUAGAACACCAAAAGAAAACCCAGAAGCUGCUCACAAUCAAUGAAACAGUGAAUAUAUUUUUUCUAUUUUUUGUAUGUAUUUUUGGUAUUUUUGUGUAUUUUAAAUGCUAAAACUUAUCUGAAUCUAAAAAUGAAAGGAAAAUCGGGUUUCUUAUGGAAUUGUUUUUUGAGCUCAAAGUUGAAGACCUCUUUCCAAGGCAUCUAAUUAUAAACAAAUAAGGGGAACACUCAGAUUUUCUUUUACACUCACAGCCCCUAAUCAUUUUCAUCUUAAAACCCUUAUUUUAUGACUUGCUACUCAAGUUACUGCCCUAAGUCUAUUGAAAACUACACUAAGGUCCUAUUCUAGAAGCCUCUAGGGUACUCUUUGAGCAAGGCAAUCCCUAAACUAUCCUUCCCUUGUUUUAAAAUUACUAAACCUAAAGAUUCUACCAUUUUCUAUGCCUAAAAGGCCCAUCUGGAAUUACCGACUGAAUCAAUCCUCAAUUAACCUCAAACCUCUUACCCUUAGUUAAACUAACUAAGGUCAACUGGAGAAUUGUUCAGCUAUAACCAACCUAAUUAUUCAUUAACACUAACACAGAUUAGCCCUAAAUGAAACCAAUUCCCAAACCAAUUCCAAAUCCCAAAUUUCAAUGAGCCUAAUUAACUAAUGAACCCAAACUAAUUAACAAGCGACAGUAAUUAUAAGAUGAGAAUCGACUUAAGCUAACAGUUAACAGAGAAUCAAUAAUUAGACUAGAAGAAACAGAACAGUUCAUGUAAGUAUUCAACAGGCAUAUUGUUAACCCGACUUAUUCGACUAAUAUUAUCUAUGAACGACGUUAAAAUGCGAUCGAUAAAAAACUAAUCCGACUAAAUAACUAUGUUAACUAUAAAUCAAAAACUGUUAAAAAAAACCUACUGCCAAAGACGAUUAAGUUGGCCACACUUAAGAACACUAAUUAAAGUCACUUAAUCAAAAUUCUAAGCUAAAACAAACAAAAUCAGACUAAAUAACAUUUCCACAACCAAUCGAAGAAACAGAGAAGAAGAAGAAGAAGAAGAAGAAGAAGAAGAAGAAGAAGAAGAAGAAGAAGAAGAAGAGGAAAUUAUUAAACCAUACAAACUAAAGUCGUAAUGCUAAAGAGAAACUCACCGUAAAAGAAAAUCCACAAACAACUAAAAGUGACGAACCCUAGAUGGACUUGAAGGCGGCCCGUUGAUAUUUGAAGUGAAAUGAUCAUAGACUCGAGACGAGGAAGACCCAAAGACAAACCAUUAUCAAUUUGGUCUUGAUUGGACGAGCUUGAGACUUGGCUGCCAAUUUCGAUUUGAUUUUUGAAGCUUUUGGUUGAUAUUCGAUGGCUAAUGUUUGCAUAUUUAGAAUGAGGGGGUCAAAGUAGUUCAGGGGUGUGAUCUUGGGAGGGAUUGAAGGUGGCACCGCCACCGGCGGCUUGGGAAUUUAGGGCGGCGUUCAUUAAGGUUCAUAAGGGGGGGAGGUCUGAGAAGAAGAUGAGAGU
rnacentral:lncRNA from 1 species